rnacentral:rRNA from 1 species
AUUGAACGCUGGCGGCAGGCUUAACACAUGCAAGUCGAGCGGGGUGAUGGUGCUUGCACUAUCACUUAGCGGCGGACGGGUGAGUAAUGCUUAGGAAUCUGCCUAUUAGUGGGGGACAACAUCUCGAAAGGGAUGCUAAUACCGCAUACGUCCUACGGGAGAAAGCAGGGGAUCACUUGUGACCUUGCGCUAAUACAUGCGCCUACGUCGGAUUAGCGAGUGGGUGGGGUAAAGGCCUACCAAGGCGACGAUGUGUAGCGGGUCUGAGAGGAUGAUCCGCCACACUGGGACUGAGACACGGCCCAGACUCCUACGGGAGGCAGCAGUGGGGAAUAUUGGACAAUGGGGGGAACCCUGAUCCAGCCAUGCCGCGUGUGUGAAGAAGGCCUUAUGGCUGUAAAGCACUUUAAGCGAGGAGGAGGCUCUUUUGGUUAAUACCCAAGAUGAGUGGACGUUACUCGCAGAAUAAGCACCGGCUAACUCUGUGCCAGCCGCCGCCGUAA